AAUAGAUACCCGGGUAGUCCACGCCGUAAACGAUGAGUGCUAAGUGUUAGGGGGGUUUCCGCCCCUUAGUGCUGCAGCUAACGCAUUAAGCACUCCGCCUGGGGAGUACGGUCGCAAGACUGAAACUCAAAGGAAUUGACGGGGGCCCGCACAAGCGGUGGAGCAUGUGGUUUAAUUCGAAGCAACGCGAAGAACCUUACCAGGUCUUGACAUCCCGCUGACCGCUAUGGAGACAUAGCCUUCCCUUCGGGGACAGCGGUGACAGGUGGUGCAUGGUUGUCGUCAGCUCGUGCCGUGAGAUGUUGGGUUAAGUCCCGCAACGAGCGCAACCCUUGAGAUUAGUUGCCAUCAUUCAGUUGGGCACUCUAAUCUGACUGCCGGUGAUAAACCGGAGGAAGGUGGGGAUGACGUCAAAUCAUCAUGCCCCUUAUGACCUGGGCUACACACGUGCUACAAUGGACGGUACAAACGGUUGCCAGCCCGCGAGGGGGGANCCGAAUCCGAUAAAACCGUUCUCAGUUCGGAUUGUAGGCUGCAACUCG
rnacentral:rRNA from 1 species